GUGAGACCAUGUCUCAGAAGUAAAGAAUGCUCACACAUACUGAAACUAAAACAAGACAGGGAAGAUGGAGCGUGGCCCUGCCGCAAGGAUGACAUGCAAUUCCGUGAAGCAUUCACCAAAUUG
ensembl:snRNA U6 U6 spliceosomal RNA